AAGUUGGUUAUUUGAAGUUUUUCCUCUUUUUAGAUAUAUGCACUUAUCACUAUCAAUUUCCCUGUGAGUACUGCUUUCAUCGUAUUCCAUAGGUUUUGGUAUGUUGUGUUUCAAUUAUUUUAUGUUUCAAGAAUUUUUAAAAUUUUCUUCUUAGUUUCUUCAUUGACUCACUGGUCAUUCAGGAGCACAUUGUUUAAUUUCCAUGUAUUUGUAUAGUUUCUAAAAUUCCUCUUGUUAUUGAUUGCUAGUUUUAAUCUAUUGUGGUCAAAGAAGAUGCUUGAUAUUAUUUCAAAUUUCUUGAAGGUGUUAUGACUUAACAUAUGGUCUGUCCUUGAGAAUGAUCCUUGUGCUGAGGAAAAGAAUGUGUAUCCUGCAGCUCUUGGACGAAAUGCUCUGUAAAUAACUAUUGGAUCCAUUUGAUCAGUAGUGCAGAUUAAGUCUGAUGUUUCUUUGUUGGUUUUCUGUCUGGAAGAUCUGUCUAAUGCUGAAAGUGGGAUAUUGAAGUGCAUACCCCAUUCUGUUAUUGUGUCAUGCUAUUAUUGUGUCAUGUCUGUCUCUCUUUUUAGCUAUAAUAAUACUGCCUUUAUAUAUCUGGGCGUUGGUAUAUGUAUAUUUAAAUUUGUGAUAUCCUCUUGCUGAAUUGACACCUUUAUCAUUAUACAGUGACUUUCUUUGUCUCUUCUUAUAGUUUUGGUCUGGAAAUCUAUUUUUUCUGAUAUAAGUAUAGCAACUCCUGCUCUUUUUGGUUUUCAUUGGCAUGGAAUAUCUUUUUCCAUUCCUUUCUUUUCAGUCUACCUGUGUCUUUAUAGGUGAAGUGUGUUUAUAGUAGGCAACAAAUCAAUGGGUCUUCUUUUGUCAUCCUUUCAGUCAAUCCAUGCCUUUUGAUUAGAGAGUUUACUCCAUUUACAUUCAAUGUUACUACUGCUAAGUAGAGACUUAUUCCUACCGUUUUGUCAUUUGUUUUCUGGUUGUUUUAUGAUCUUCUCUUCCUUCUUUCUUUCCUUCCUGUCUUUCUCUAGUGAAUUUGAUUUUCUCUGGUGAUACAAUUUAGUUUCUUGCUUUUUAUUUUCUGUGUACCCCCUUGUAUGUUUUUGGUCUGAGAUUACCAUGAGGCUUGCAAAUACUAUCUUUAAUCUGAUAACAACUUAACACUAUAUGCAUAAACAAAGAAGGAAACAAGCAAAAAGAAAAUAAAAACUAUAAGCCUUAACUUCAUUGCCCCACUUUUAAACUUUUUGUAGUAUCUAAUUAUCUCUUAUUAGAUAAUUAAUGCCUGUGUCUUGAAAAGUUUUUGUAGUCAUUAUUUUUUAUUGGUUCACUGUUUACUUUUUCUAUUUGGCCUAAGAGAAGUUUACAUAUCACAGUGACAGUGUUAAAAUAUUCUAUGAUUUUCUGUGUACUUACUAUUACUAGUGAGUUUUGUAUCUUCAGGUGAUUAUUUAUUGCUCAUUAAUGUCCUUUUCUUUCUGAUUGAAGUGCUCCCAUUAACAUUUCUUGUAGGACAGGUCUGGUAUUGAUGAAUCUCUCAGCUUUUGUUUAUCUGGGAAAGUCUAUUUCUCCUUCAUGUUUGAAGGAUAUUUUCACCAGAUACACUAUUCUAGGGUAAAAAAAUUUUUUUUUUCUUCAGCAUUUUAAAUAUGUUAUGCCACUCUCUCCUGACCUGUAAGGUUUCUGCUGAAAAGUCUGAUGACAGACAUAUUGGAGCUCCAUGGUAUGCUAUUUAUUUAUUUUCUCUUGCUGCUUUUAGAAUCAUAUAUUUAUCCUUAACCUUUGGAAAUUUGAUUAUUAAAUGCCUUAAGAUAGUCUUCUUUAGGUUAAAAUCUGCUUGGUGUUCUAUAACCUUCUUAUACUUGGAUAUGGAUAUAUUUCUCUACGUUUGGGAAGUUCUCUGUUAUUAUCCCUCUGAAUAAACUUUCCAUCCCUAUUUCUUUCUCUAUUUUCUCUUUAAAGCCCGUAACUCUUAGAUUUGCCCUCUUGAGCCUGUUUUCUAGAUCCUGUAGAUGUGUUUCUUUGUUUUUUUUUCUUUUUUCUCCUUUGACUGUGUAUUUUCAAAUAGGCUACCUUCACACUCACUAAUUCUCUCUUCUGCUUGAUCAGUUCUGCUAUUAGAGGACUCUGGUGCAUUAUUCAGUAUGCCAAUUACAUCUUUCAGCUCCAGAAUUUCUGCUUGAUUUAUUUUCAUUAUUUCAAUGUCUUUGUUAAAUUUAUCUCAUACAAUUCUGAAUUCCUUUUCUGUGUUCUAUUGAAUUUCUUUGAGUUUCCUCAACAGCUAUUUUGAAUUAUCUGUCAGAAAGGUCACAUUCCACUGUUUCUACAGGAUUGGUCCUUGAUGUCUUAUUUAGUUUAAUUGGUGAGGCCAUGUUUUCCUGGAUGGCAUUGAUGCUAGUAGAUGUUCUUUAAUGUCUGGGCAUUGAAAGGUUAGAUAUUUAUUGUAGUUUUCACUGCUUGGGCAUAUUUGUAGCUAUUCAUUUUGGAAAGGCUUUUCAGACAUGUGAAAGGACUUCAAUGUUGUAAUCCAAGCUAUAUCUCCUUCAGGGGAUACCCCAAGCCCAGAAACACUGUGGUUAUUGCAGACUCAUAGAGGUACCACCUUGAUAGUCUUGGACAAGAUCCGGAAGAAUUAUCUGGAUAACCAGACAGAGACUCUUGUUCCCUUCCCUUACUUUCUCCCAAUCAAACAGAAUCUCUCUUUGUUCUGAGCCACCUAAAGCUGAGGGUAGAGUGACAUAAGCAUCCCUGUGGCCACAAUAACUAUGACUGCACUGGGUGAGACCUGAAAUCAGCACAGGGCUAGGUCUCACCCAAGACCUGCUGUAACCACUCCCUGGCUACUGCCUGUGUCCACUCAAGGCCCUGGAGCUCUCAGCAGAUGGCAAAGCCAGCUAGGCUUGUGUGUUUCCCUUCAGGGUGGUAAGGUCCCGUAAACCCCAGAUGGGUCCAGAAGUACCAUCUGGGAAGCAGGAACUAGAGUCAAAAAUCUUAGAGGUCUACCUGGUGUUGGCACUCAAACCACACAACAGUCCUUCUACUCUUUCCUCCUCUUUCUAAAAGCAGAAGAGUCUUGCCCAUAGCCACUGCCACCCAAGGCCAUGAGGAGUACUGCCAGACUACUGCUGAUGUUCCCUUAAGGCCAAGGUCUCUAAAGCCAGCUUGUCAUGAAUGCUACCUGGCCUGGGAAUUACCCUUUAGGGCAGUGGGCUCAUUUCUGGCCCAGAGUUGAUCCAGAAAUGCUGUCCAAGAGUCAAGUUCUGGAAUCAAGGGCCCCAAGAGCCCACUUGGUGCUCCACUCCCCUGUGGCUAUGCUGUUACCUCAGGUGCAAGACAAAGUCCCCUUUACUUUUCCUUCUGCUUUUCUCAAGCUGGAAUUUUGCCCUAUAGCCACCACUGCUGGUUAUGUGCUGAGCCUCAUCUGAAGCCACCAAGCUUCAGAGGUUCACCCAAGGUUCUUAAGAUAGUGUCUGGGUAUUGCUGCUGGCUGUCCAGGGCCCAAAGACUCUUCAGCUAGAAGGGGAUAAAUGCUUCCAGGACUGGGUCCUAUUUUCUUCAAGGUGGCAGAUUCCCUUCUGGCCCAGGGUGUGUCUAGAAAGGUCAUCUGGGAGCUCGGGCCUGGAAUGAGGGUCUCACAUCUCUAACUGGUGUCCUGUCCUGCUGUGGGUGGGCUGAUAUCCUAGAUGCAAGUCCUCCUCACUCUUUCUUCUUCUCUUUUCAAGUAUAAGGAAGGGGUCUCUUUUGGAGACACAAGCUGUGCAGUCUGGGAUUUGGUAAGGGAUGAUAUCAACACUCUGUUGGCUGCCCAAGCUGGUGUCUCUGUAUGCCCCAUGGCCCCAAGUUCAUUGUCUCUGGGCCUGGUUCAGUACUAGGACUCACCAAAGAGUUGCAGUCUUUAUGGCCUAUACUGCCUUUCAAGUUUACUGGGAGACACAGAGCAUAGCCCUUGGUGGUGGGGUUUGCAAAAACCCAAGUUCAGAUACCUGGGAUCAGUAAUUGCCCUGUGUCUAGUGCUAGGGCUGGUUUAAAUGCUCCCUCCAUAGGUGGGUGUCACUGAGUUAGGUCCAGAUUUUCUUUCUGCUCUAACAGGACAAUACUGAGUUCCGUGCCUCAUAAUUGCUGUGUUCUCCAUCCCCCAGUGUCCAGAGAUACUCUCUGCACCAAGCCAAGGCUGCUGGGGAUGGAGGAGGGUUUUCUUCAUCUUUUUUUUUUUUUUUAAAUAUCUUCCAUGCCUCUCAGUGAUAUGAAGUUAAGACUGGGUACUGUGAGUGCUCACCUGAUUUUUGGUUCUCAUGAAGAGUAAAAAUGAUACCACUAUGAUCAUCAGCUCCUCUUCAUGACCAUGGGUGGCAAGGAGCCAAAGAGCUGAAAAACCAUGAGAUGCCCACAUGUUGCCUGUUUCAGGGCUGUUACUUUCUGGACAGGGAAGCAAAACAGGUUUUUGUGCCUCAAUUGAGUAGAUCCAGUGCUCUCUGCACACAGAUGAUGUUGUCUGUGUGGUCACCGAUGUAUCUUCAGUGCCCAGAACAGUGCCUGGCAAGAGCAGACUGUCAACAGAUGGUUUAAAGGAGUCUUGGCCUUCACCUAACAGACUCACUGAGGUAUGACUUCAGGCCUCACGGUUGGCCCUUUGAUUUAUGUGUUUCAUGGACAAACUGCUAUUGUGUAGGAGCCCUCCGAAAGCUUCAAAAAGCCAGAGGACAAGGGAGAUUUGUGAUACUCAUUAUACAGGCCAGUCUCCUGGGGAUCCAUGGCAGAUAGAAGAGAAGAACAGCCAAGCAGAUACGUGCUAUCAUUACCAAUCUGCAGAUUAGGAACCCAAGGCUGAGUUAAAGUCACUUGCCAGAUUACUACCACUGUUAAUGGGCUACUGCUCAAGAUUCAAAUGCAGGUUGCAGAUCACUUCCUGGAAUGUGAUGAUGAAAACAUUACUUGCUGCAUAGAGUUGCCGUGAGGAUUAAUGAGAAAAUAUAUGUAAUAGCACCCUGCAGAUUCAAGUAAAUAAGGAAAUUCCCAACUCUCAGUGCUUUUAAGUGUGGGAAAACCGGAGGACCACAGGACCAAUAUUCUUCUUUGAAAACUGUUUGUGGUUUGGCAUUCAAGAGUCUCACAAUUGUGCCAUAUUUCUUUAGCAUUUUCCGCGGGCUGGCUUCCUCAUGCUACGAGUCAUCUCUGAUUAUAAAAUAUAUACAUGGCAAGAGAACCAGGACAAUGACUGACUAUGUGACUAUGACCAUAAGAUACUAUGAAUAGCUCUUUCUUCCCUAAGCCUGCAUCUGGCUUCAGACCCUUCUCAGCAAGAAGCUCCAGAAAGCUACUAAUGAUUGAUCAAGAUUAAAUGCAUCUCGAAAACAAUUUUCCAUCCUUGCUUUAGAUUUCAUCAUCAUUUGAAGUUAGUUUUCCAGUUUCUUAAAGUGCUUAUUCUAGUGAUUUCACCCCUUCUGGUCAUGAUAAAUGAGGCUCUUCGUGAGCUGGUAUCCAAGGGUUUUAUUUGUUUGCUUUCCUCUGUUUUUGCUCAUACUUCUCAGUUUGAAGUUUCUCUUACAAGACUUUUAGAAUUGUUUAAAUGAGACAAAAUUUGGUAAUACUUACAGAAAAACCAGUAUAGAUGGGUUUAAACUCUAUAGUGCUAAAUUUUGCUAAUUUAACAAAUGAUUAUUGAGCAUGUAUUACAUGGCAACUUAUUCUUUAUCUAGAAUGAAAAAAGCUCUUGCCUUUAAAACCUUAUAUAAAAAAAAGAAAAUAUAUUGUGGGAACUAUUUACUCUGUCAUCUGGAGAAUUGUUUGGGGUGUCUGAAUUCUUUCAUAAAUGUUUUUGAAUAAGCAACAGUCUCAGAUACAAAUUUUGUGUGCAGCAUUCUUCAGAUACAAUCUAGCCAUUUGGCUGCAUCUGUGAUUAACACCAACUGCUCCUAAGCUUUGGAGAAAGGCAUGAGCAUGUGUAUGCUGUGUGUGAUACAGGAAUGCCACUGAAAUCCAACUUAAUCCAUUAGCUCAUAAAAUAGAUGCAAUGUUUGUUUAGUGCUUGGUAAUGCAUUUUCUCCAAUUUCAAAACUCAUUGGAGAUCCCACUUGCAUUUGACCAUACUUUUGUUUUCUCCUAAAAUUCUUCAAAGUAAUAUUUGCAAAAUAGGAACUCCAAACAGAUAAUGUAAUAAGAGUUGAAAUUCUUAUCCACACUUGACAACUUAACACAGUGGAAACAGCAUGAUCUUUGAUGUCAGAAAGACCCUCUAGUCUCUUUUAUGUGAGCCUUGGCAAGUCAGAUGACAUACUGAACCUCAUUUUUUUAACUCUGGAGUGGGAAUAAUGCUAUUUACCUGCCAGAAUUAUUAUAAGGUUUAAAAAUGCGAUGCAUGUUUAAAUCUUGGUGUAUAGUAGGCACUUCAUAAAAAUUAGCUGCUGUAGAAUAUUAUCGGUAGUAAUACUGUCACGGGACCUGAGUUAAGCUUGCGUGUAUCAUUCAUUCAUUCAUUCAUUCAAUGAGUGUUUACUGCACCAUAUCUGCGGCACAGGAUCCUGUGCUGGGCAUUAUAGGGUAUAAGUGGGAGUGAUACAAACACAUGUAUUUUGCCUUUAAUGGUCUUCUUUUCUGGUUGAGAAACAAAUAGGCACAUAGAUAAUCAGAGUAGAAAAUGACAAAGGGACUAAAUAGUAUAGGGCUUAGAAGGAAGGAAGAGUUCAAUAUUACUAGGAAUGGAGAUGGGGGAGGAAGUAGAGAAAGGCUUCCUGGAGCAAAUACAACUCUGUCCCCAUUCCCCACUGGGCAAGUUAGUUCUUCCAGGUCAGUUACUUCAAAUCAAAACUGCUUGCUCCUCUGCUCUGACAUUCUUUGGUCACAUUUCCAGUGGCUGCUGGCUGCCUUUACUUAUAGUGGACUCUCAUAUUGGCCUAAAAGAAGUAAAAGAGACAAGAAAGACCAAUUCCUUCAUCCCUCUGAAGGAUCCCAUCAAUUUUAAAAGCAACUGUGCACCUAGCUCUUACCUGCCUGUGACAUCUUAGGUUUCACAUUAUAAACCUGUUAGAUGAUGUGAUUUGAGGUUUUCCACAUAAAGACUUGAUCUCUGCUCAGUUUCAUGGCAGUCAUUUUGCCCUCCUUAAACAGUUUAUAUGUCCUCAUUUAUUUUUAAAAAUACUCUAAUGUUUUCAUAAUUGGCUAAACUUGAGAUUACAGGAGAUGUGUCUUGACAGAAUGAAGGAAAACUUUGCCUUUUCCUCUUGUGGGCAAUGAAUGCAAUAUAACCAAAGUUAUUCUCUCAUCUUUCCUUGGAAACUCCCUGUCAAAUGCAAAGCCUAGCUCUAGGAAUUACUUCCUGCAAGUAGCAUGAUAGAUAUUAAAAUGGCAUGUAAUAACUUCUAUCAAUUUUUCCUUAUUAGAAGUCUAAAAGAAACAGAAGUAUAGAGGAACAGAAUUAAGAUGCUAUUUCUUGAUGAGAACACAUGGACACAUAGAGGGGAAUAACACACACUGGGGCCUUUCUGAUGGUGGAGAGUGGGAGGAGGAAGAGGAUCAGGAAAAACAACUAAUGGUUGCUAGGCUUAAUACUUGGAUGGUGAAAUAAUCUGUUUAACAAACCCCCAUGACACAAGUUUACCUUGUACCCCUGAAUUUAAAAGUUUAUUUAAAAGAUGCUAUUUUCUCAAUAUGAUAAACAUAUGUAUAUGCAUACACAUUCACACACACACCAUAGUAACACAGGUUCAUACACAAUGUUAUUUCCAUUAAAGGGAGACAUAAGUCAAGUAUGUCUGUUAUUUCCACUAUUAUUUCACAUUAUUUUGGAACAGUGAUGCAAAUAGCCAAGAAGAUAAAGUAAGAUAUAGAAAUAUUUAGUAAGUUAAAUUUCUAAUUUCAUAAAAACCCAAGAAAUCAACUAAAAAUUCUUAUAUAUUAAAAGAGAAAUCAGUAAGAUAGCUGAUUAAACAAUGAAUAUACAAAACUUGAAAAGCUCUUAUCUAACAAGAAGGAUCAGGUAAGAAAUGUCAUGGAGAACAUUCUAACACAAAAGAUAGCUUAAUGCAUAAAAUAUUUAGAAAAAUAUGAAAAAAACAAAGAUUCAAGGUUUACAUGGAGAAAAUGAUAAAACUGCAUCAAAGAUCAUAAGAAAGAAUAAAAAGUCACAUAUUCUUGUGCGAUUAUUUAUUCUGGUGAUGCUGUUGGUAUCUGAGGGAAUCUAUGUGUUAAACACAAUCUCAAUGAACAUUUUUAAAAUAAACUUUUUAAAGUUCAACUAAAUAUAAAUAUUGGCAGAGCAAAAAAUUUCAGAAAGGAGCAACAAUUGGAAAGAGCACUGAACUGACAGAUAUUUAAAUACAAUAAAUACAAGAUGGCCAAAGAGCAUUUGAAUAGAUGCUGUUCUUUGCUAGUAAUCAAAGAAGCACACAUUGAAAUAAGAAUGCAAGUUUCUUUUUUGCUAUAAAAAUAUAAAGUUAUCUAGUUUUGAUAACUAUGGGGAUCAAACAUUUGAAUACUGCUAAGGUUAAAUUGGCAUAAUUUUCUUGAGAUAAAUUUGGAAAUGUAUUUCAAAAUUUUAAAUAUGCAUUCUCUUAGGGAUAUGUACCCAAGUAUGUAGGUAUGAAUGAUGCAUGGUACUUCAUUAUUUUGUCUUGAAAUUUUUCCUAUGCAAAUGCUUAGAUCAGUGAUCAAGGUAUAUGAACACGAAUAUUCAUUGAUGCUUUGUUUUUAAGUAAAAAGAAUAUAGAGAAGACAAAAGAAACAGAGCAAUCAAGUUUCCAUUUAUGAAGGAUUCACUACUCAAUCAUUUUAUGCAGGAGCAAAAGUCAUUAAUAGUAAAAAUAUAGAUCUGUACUUACAGACUAGGAGAGAGGAAAAGAGAGGUGAGGAGGAGAGGAAACAGGAGGAGAGGAGGGGAGGGGAAGGGAAGAGAGGGAAGGAGAGAAAUUGUU